rnacentral:rRNA from 1 species
UUGCUAGCUUGCUAUAAUUCUCUAGUGGCGCACGGGUGAGUAACACGUGAGUAACCUGCCCCCAAGAGUGGGAUAGCCCCGGGAAACUGGGAUUAAUACCGCAUAAAAUCGCAAGAUUAAAGCAGCAAUGCGCUUGGGGAUGGGCUCGCGUCCUAUUAGUUAGUUGGUGAGGUAACGGCUCACCAAGGCGAUGACGGGUAGCCGGUCUGAGAGGAUGUCCGGCCACACUGGAACUGAGACACGGUCCAGACACCUACGGGUGGCAGCAGUCGAGAAUCAUUCACAAUGGGGGAAACCCUGAUGGUGCGACGCCGCGUGGGGGAAUGAAGGUCUUCGGAUUGUAAACCCCUGUCAUGUGGGAGCAAAUUAAAAAGAUAGUACCACAAGAGGAAGAGACGGCUAACUCUGUGCCAGCAGCCGCGGUAAUACAGAGGUCUCAAGCGUUGUUCGGAAUCACUGGGCGUAAAGCGUGCGUAGGCGGUUUCGUAAGUCGUGUGUGAAAGGCGGGGGCUCAACCCCCGGACUGCACAUGAUACUGCGAGACUAGAGUAAUGGAGGGGGAACCGGAAUUCUCGGUGUAGCAGUGAAAUGCGUAGAUAUCGAGAGGAACACUCGUGGCGAAGGCGGGUUCCUGGACAUUAACUGACGCUGAGGCACGAAGGCCAGGGGAGCGAAAGGGAUUAGAUACCCCUGUAGUCCUGGCA